AGAGUUUGAUCAUGGCUCAGAUUGAACGCUGGCGGCAGGCCUAACACAUGCAAGUCGAACGGUAACAGGAAGCAGCUUGCUGCUUUGCUGACGAGUGGCGGACGGGUGAGUAAUGUCUGGGAAACUGCCUGAUGGAGGGGGAUAACUACUGGAAACGGUAGCUAAUACCGCAUAACGUCGCAAGACCAAAGAGGGGGACCUUAGGGCCUCUUGCCAUCGGAUGUGCCCAGAUGGGAUUAGCUAGUAGGUGGGGUAACGGCUCACCUAGGCGACGAUCCCUAGCUGGUCUGAGAGGAUGACCAGCCACACUGGAACUGAGACACGGUCCAGACUCCUACGGGAGGCAGCAGUGGGGAAUAUUGCACAAUGGGCGCAAGCCUGAUGCAGCCAUGCCGCGUGUAUGAAGAAGGCCUUCGGGUUGUAAAGUACUUUCAGCGGGGAGGAAGGGAGUAAAGUUAAUACCUUUGCUCAUUGACGUUACCCGCAGAAGAAGCACCGGCUAACUCCGUGCCAGCAGCCGCGGUAAUACGGAGGGUGCAAGCGUUAAUCGGAAUUACUGGGCGUAAAGCGCACGCAGGCGGUUUGUUAAGUCAGAUGUGAAAUCCCCGGGCUCAACCUGGGAACUGCAUCUGAUACUGGCAAGCUUGAGUCUCGUAGAGGGGGGUAGAAUUCCAGGUGUAGCGGUGAAAUGCGUAGAGAUCUGGAGGAAUACCGGUGGCGAAGGCGGCCCCCUGGACGAAGACUGACGCUCAGGUGCGAAAGCGUGGGGAGCAAACAGGAUUAGAUACCCUGGUAGUCCACGCCGUAAACGAUGUCGACUUGGAGGUUGUGCCCUUGAGGCGUGGCUUCCGGAGCUAACGCGUUAAGUCGACCGCCUGGGGAGUACGGCCGCAAGGUUAAAACUCAAAUGAAUUGACGGGGGCCCGCACAAGCGGUGGAGCAUGUGGUUUAAUUCGAUGCAACGCGAAGAACCUUACCUGGUCUUGACAUCCACGGAAGUUUUCAGAGAUGAGAAUGUGCCUUCGGGAACCGUGAGACAGGUGCUGCAUGGCUGUCGUCAGCUCGUGUUGUGAAAUGUUGGGUUAAGUCCCGCAACGAGCGCAACCCUUAUCCUUUGUUGCCAGCGGUCCGGCCGGGAACUCAAAGGAGACUGCCAGUGAUAAACUGGAGGAAGGUGGGGAUGACGUCAAGUCAUCAUGGCCCUUACGACCAGGGCUACACACGUGCUACAAUGGCGCAUACAAAGAGAAGCGACCUCGCGAGAGCAAGCGGACCUCAUAAAGUGCGUCGUAGUCCGGAUUGGAGUCUGCAACUCGACUCCAUGAAGUCGGAAUCGCUAGUAAUCGUGGAUCAGAAUGCCACGGUGAAUACGUUCCCGGGCCUUGUACACACCGCCCGUCACACCAUGGGAGUGGGUUGCAAAAGAAGUAGGUAGCUUAACCUUCGGGAGGGCGCUUACCACUUUGUGAUUCAUGACUGGGGUGAAGUCGUAACAAGGUAACCGUAGGGGAACCUGCGGUUGGAUCACCU
rnacentral:rRNA from 71 species